GAUCAUGGCUCAGAGCGAACGUUAGCGGCGGGCUUAACACAUGCAAGUCGAGCGAGAAGUGGCUUCGGCCAUCAGUAAAGCGGCGGACGGGUGAGUAACACGUAGGUAAUCUUCCCUUGAGCGGGGACAACGAGCCGAAAGGCUCGCUAAUACCGCAUAAGUUCCCAGGGGUCCUCGGGCCUUGGGAGGAAAGCUAGGUAGCAAUAUCCGGCACUCGAGGAGGAGCCUGCGUCGCAUCAGCUAGUUGGUGGGGUAAUGGCCUACCAAGGCGAAGACGCGUAGCUGGUCUGAGAGGAUGAUCAGCCACACUGAAACUGAGACACGGUUCAGACUCCUACGGGAGGCAGCAGUGGGGAAUAUUGGACAAUGGGCGCAAGCCUGAUCCAGCCACGCCGCGUGAGUGAUGAAGGCCUUCGGGUCGUAAAGCUCUGUGGGGAGGGACGAACCGCCGGCGGUUAAUACCCGACGGCAUGACGGUCCCUCCUUAGCAAGCACCGGCUAACUUCGUG
rnacentral:rRNA from 1 species